rnacentral:lncRNA from 1 species
UAUGGUUUUUUUUUUUUGAUUUGUGUAUGUGUAUUUAAACACUCUGUGCGACUUUCAGCUACUCGGGGCAGUUGAAAAGUAGAAAGUCACACAUGAUACCUGAAAAUGAAUUUCAUCACAAGGAUCCUCCUCCAAGGAAUGCUGUUGCCAGUGUACAAAAUGGGCCUGGUGGUGGGACUUCUUCAUCAUCCAUAGGAAGUGCGUCUAAAUCAGAUGAAAGCGGUGCUGAGGAGACUGAUAAAUCAAGGGAGAGAUCUCAGUGUGGUACAAAAGCUGUUAAUAAGGCUUCUAGUACCACACCAAAAGGGAAUUCAAGCAAUGGAAAUAGUGGCUCUAACAGCAACAAAGCUGUUAAGGAAAAUGACAAAGAAAAAGUAAAAGAGAAAGAAAAAGAGAAAAAAGAGAAGACUCCAGCUACAACUCCAGAGGCCAGGGUACUUGGUAAAGAAAGUAAAGAAAAACCGAAGGAAGAGCGGCCAAAUAAAGAUGACAAAGCAAGAGAGACAAAGGAAAGAACACCUAAAUCUGACAAAGAGAAGGAGAAGUUCAAGAAGGAAGAAAAAGCAAAAGAUGAGAAAUUCAAGACCACUGUCCCCAGCGUAGAAUCAAAAUCGACUCAAGAAAGGGAAAGAGAGAAGGAGCCAUCCAGAGAAAGAGAUGUAGCAAAGGAAAUGAAGUCAAAGGAAAAUGUUAAAGGAGGAGAAAAACCACCAGUUUCAGGGUCCUUGAAGUCACCUGUUCCCCGAUCAGAUAUCUCGGAGCCUGACA